AGCCGCGGUAAUACGUAGGGUGCGAGCGUUAUCCGGAAUUAUUGGGCGUAAAGAGCUCGUAGGCGGUUUGUCGCGUCUGUCGUGAAAGUCCGGGGCUUAACCCCGGAUCUGCGGUGGGUACGGGCAGACUAGAGUGCAGUAGGGGAGACUGGAAUUCCUGGUGUAGCGGUGGAAUGCGCAGAUAUCAGGAGGAACACCGAUGGCGAAGGCAGGUCUCUGGGCUGUAACUGACGCUGAGGAGCGAAAGCAUGGGGAGCGAACAGGAUUAGAUACCCUGGUAGUCCAUGCCGUAAACGUUGGGCACUAGGUGUGGGGACCAUUCCACGGUUUCCGCGCCGCAGCUAACGCAUUAAGUGCCCCGCCUGGGGAGUACGGCCGCAAGGCUAAAACUCAAAGGAAUUGACGGGGGCCCGCACAAGCGGCGGAGCAUGCGGAUUAAUUCGAUGCAACGCGAAGAACCUUACCAAGGCUUGACAUGUUCUCGAUCGCCGUAGAGAUACGGUUUCCCCUUUGGGGCGGGUUCACAGGUGGUGCAUGGUUGUCGUCAGCUCGCGUCGUGAGAUGUUGGGUUAAGUCCCGCAACGAGCGCAACCCUCGUUCCAUGUUGCCAGCACGUAAUGGUGGGGACUCAUGGGAGACUGCCGGGGUCAACUCGGAGGAAGGUGAGGACGACGUCAAAUCAUCAUGCCCCUUAUGUCUUGGGCUUCACGCAUGCUACAAUGGCCGGUACAAUGGGUUGCGAUACUGUGAGGUGGAGCUAAUCCCAAAAAGCCGGUCUCAGUUCGGAUUGGGGUCUGCAACUCGACCCCAUGAAGUCGGAGUCGCUAGUAAUCGCAGAUCAGCAACGCUGCGGUGAAUACGUUCCCGGGCCUUGCACACACCGCCCGU
rnacentral:rRNA from 1 species